UACGGAGGGGGCUAGCGUUGUUCGGAUUUACUGGGCGUAAAGCGCACGUAGGCGGCAUAUUAAGUUAGAUGUGAAAGCCCCGGGCUCAACCUGGGAAUUGCAUUUAGAACUGGCAAGCUAGAGUAGGGUAGAGGGGUGUGGAAUUCCAGGUGUAGCGGUGAAAUGCGUAGAUAUCUGGAGGAACAUCAGUGGCGAAGGCGGCACCCUGGACUCAUACUGACACUGAGGUGCGAAAGCGUGGGGAGCAAACAGG
rnacentral:rRNA from 1 species